UGGAGGUUUCGAAGGGCAAUAGAAACCACUGGAAAAGAGCACAAGAAUGAAUCCUGUUAUAAUCCCUUCUUAACAUCUAAAAAUACAUCAUAUAAAAUAAUGUAACUGAAUAAAGUUUAAAAAAGGAGGCCACAGAAUGUGAAAAUGAUUCAUGACAAAUAUAACUGAAAAGCUUACAUUUCUAAAAAAAAAAAUCUAGAUUUAAUAAAAUUAUAUGUGGCUAAUCCUUAGCUUAGUGAUUUCUACUUAACAAAUGGAGUAUAAGAGGAUAAGUAUAGAAAAUUUCAUACAUAAGGAAAUAGAAAAUAAAAAUCUACAGAAAUACAAAUAAAUAUAAAUCAAUAGAAGUUAGAUAACUAUAAAUCAAACAGCUUAGAGUUUCCAUUAUCUUUCUACAAGUCUAACAAAAGUGAAAUAUUGUAACAAAGCCAGCAUCAAUGGGACUCAAGUAGAAUCCAAAGGAGAGGAUACUAUUUCCAUGAUGAUAUAUUCAUAAUAUUAAUUUAUGAUGUUUAAAAUAAUUUAGAAACAGCCUCCGAAGCUCUCACAAUAAAGAUAUGAUAAAGUAAACUUUGGCAUGCUGAUAAAAUGGAAUACUAUACAGCCAUUAAGAUAGUAAGUGUGAUGGUCAUUGAAAUGUAUAGUUAAAAGAAUGCAGAAAGACUAGGAAUAUGUAAGCAACACUUUCAAGUGAAUACAUGGGCGGAUGAGGGUUAGAAGUAAUUUCAGAGAAGUGCAUUUAGUGUGAGGGAUAUCCUUGUCUGUAAAGUGAAGUGCAUAAUAAAAAUGUAAGUGUAUGUGGACAUACAUCAUAUAGAAGAGGUGGUAGAGAGUAAUUUCUUCUUUCUCCUGGCUUCCCUGGGGAGCCAUGAGGAUGAAUUAAGUGGUUUGAACUUCUUGGAUCAAGAUAUGCACAGAUAGAAUGAGUGAACAGUUUAAGUUUGCCCUUGGAGACAUUUAAGGAUAUCCAUCUGUUGAAUAUUAUGAUGUUUUAAAGUUAAUUUAAUAACAUUAGAAAAUGCUCAUAAUUAGUGCUGUUUUGUUUUUAAAUGGUGCUAGAAUAUAUCCCCCCAUUAUGCUUGUGUGUCCUUCUCUCUCUCACACACACAAUACACUAAAAUUAGACUUUAUUGUUUAGCUUUAGUAAGAAAGAAAGAGAUGGAACUUCCAAAAUAGUUGUUGUGUGCCUCAACACCUGUCAGAUUUAAUUUAUUUCUCUCCACUUGACUCUCUCCCCUACCAUCCACCUACACCCCUAGAAGCCCCACCAUUAACAUACAGUAUCAUAAACUAAGAAAUUCUAAAGACAUUUCUUCCCCUUGUCCUUUCAGUAGUGCUGAGGUCAGAGCAGGCCAGCCUUGCAGCAGAACAAGAAGACAUGGGCAAAGAAAUGCCCUGUUAUUUGGAAAAUUUCUCUUAGAAAAAGGUUGAAUCCUUCAAGUACAGAGGGAGACGUAGAUAAAGAAACACAUUUUAAUACUGCGUUUCUUGAGUAUAUAAUGUUUUCAUGCCCUGAGGAUUGUUAAAAAUGAGGUUUUAAAAUGACAUUCUGAGUUUGUAAAAUUCUGAAAACAGAUGACAGAAUGGCAAUCUGUCCUGUUCCCCAACAAAAGAGUGCUCCAGACUUACUAUUAAAUGAAAAAGAUCACAAUACAGUUAUGUAUAUGGUAAGAGAUCAAUUAUGAAACACCUACCCUCCCACACACACCCAUAUCCAUUCAGAGAAAAUGUCCAUGGUGGCUAUUCGUAAAAUGGUGGAGUGAUGAGUAAUUUAAAUUUUCUUCUAUGUAAUUUCUCAAAUUUUCCAGAUUUUUCUUCCACCAGUAUGUGCUAGCUUCAUAACAAAGAGAAAAGUCAGAAGAGUUAUUAAUAGAAAGCAAUACCCAAGAGCCUGGGAAGCCCCCGUGUCAUGAAGUCAAGGGCAGCCAGGAUCAGGAAAUGGCAGCCGUCGCAGCUGCGCUGUGAAGAGCAAUGCCCAGCGAGGACCUGUUCAGCUGAGAACAGCUUCUCAAGAGAGGGCGGCCAAGAAGAGCUAGAGGAAUAAAUUGAGCCCAAGAGAACAAAAUGGCAGACGUGACAAACUCUCAUCAGCACUUAGCUCAGAUGACUCUCAGUAACAUGAGGAAGGAAGGCAGACUCCAGCUCUGUACUUGCUAAAGGUUAAACGAGACCUCAGAGAAUGUCUGCUCCAAUUGUCUCAUUUUCUAAGGAAGAGCCCCAAAAGAGCUCGCUUCAUGCUCUCACAGCUGCUCUGCGGAGGAUCCAGGACUAGAACUCUAGCAUCCUGACUCCCAGCUGGGCGUCUGGGCUCUCUGCCUCUCACAGUGUUGUUACUGUGAUCCUCACCAUUGUUUACAUGAAGAAAAUACACUAGGGGCUGGGGCUGGGGCUCAGGGGCAGAGCGCUUGCCUGGCAUGUGUGAGGCACUGGGUUCGAUCCCUAGCACCACAUAAAAAUAAAAUAAAUAAAAUAAAGGCAUGCUGUCUAUACACAACUACAAUUUUAAAAAAGAGAGAAAGAAAAGAAAAGUGCACUAUGUAAUAUUCAUCUAGGACUGGAAACUCUGCCUUUACUCCAGGUGGAGUCCCAAACAUUAUUCCAAGUUGGGACAGAUUUCCAAAAUUCCAGUAUUGCUCUUGACUCUAAUCUUCCUCCCUACAAUGAACUAAAUGUCUGUGUCCUCCCCAAAUCCAUGUGUUGAAAUCCUGCCUCUCCAACUGUGGUGACAUUAGGAGGUAGGGAUUGUGGGAGGUAAUUGGGUCAUGAGGGUAGAGCCUUCCUUCAUCAAAAGGAUUAGUGCCCUUAUAAAAGGGACCCCAGAGAGCUCUCUUGCCCUCUUUCUGCUGUGUGAGAACAUAGCAAGAAGACAACAGUUUGCAAUCAGAAGAGGCCUCUUGCCAGGACCUAACCCUGCUGGCAUUGUGACCUCAGGCCCCUAGCCUCCAGGACCAUGAGAAAUAAAUUUGUGAUGUGGAUCAGUCACCCAACCUGUAGUAUCCGUUACAGCAGCUGGCAUUGGCUGAGACAUUCCUCAAACCCACUGCUGCUGUCUCGGGUUGACUGCUCAUUCAUUUUUCUUUUCCUUUCCAUUCUUUUUCAUGAUGUUAAAGCCUACCAAAAAAGCAAGCAAGAAAGAAUAGUGCAAGAACCCCCGUGUAUCCUUUACCCAAACACAAAAAUCAUUAACAUUUUGCCCUAUAUGUAGGAGCAGCCAUACAUGACAGAUGUGCUAUUCACAUAGGGCACAUUUGUGUAAGAGCAUCUAUAUGUAUCAUAUAUGUACAUCACACAUUUUUCUGAAAUAUUUUGAAAGUGUGUUGAAGACAUUAUGAUACUUUACCCCUUGAGUCUCCAGUACCAUCUUGGAAAAAAAGAGCUACAUAAUUAUGACAUCAUAGCACCUAAGGAAACUAAUAUUUAACUCACACUCAGUUGUUUCCAAAAUGUCGUUUACAGCUCUUUUAAGUUUUUGAUCAAGGAUCAUCUCCAAGCCUAAGAUUUGGUGUGGUCUGUUGAGUCUCUUUAGUUUCUUUUGAUUUGGGACAGUCCCCUCCCAUUUUGUUUAUCAUGACAUUGAAUUUUUGAAGGGUUAUAGCCAAAUUUUUUUAUGUGAUGUCUUUCUCUCUGGAUUUCUCUAAUUGUCUCCUUUUGAUGAGAUUGAGAUCAAACAUCUUGGGACAGAAGACUCUGUAGAAGAUUUUAGGUCUGUUAUGUCAUGCCACAUCAGAGGGCACAUGAUGUCCCGUUGCCCCACAGUUCUGUUUGGCCUGUUGCUUAACAUGAUGGCUACCAGACCUUUCCAUUGCAAAGGUGUGGUUUCUCCUUUGAAGUUAAUAAUCCAUUCAGUGACUCUUUGAGACUAUGGGAAUUUUCUUAGCCUUUGUUGAUAUUCCUGUCUGCCCUAGGGUUGCAAAAAUGAUAAUUUUUCUAAUGGACUCUUUUUUUUUUUCCUUUUUGAAGUGCUAGGGAGUCGAUGCAGAGCCUCGCACAUGCUAGGUGAGCUCUCUUCCACUGACCAUACCCUCAGCUCAAUAAUUGACCUAUUUUAUUAGCUGGCAUUCCCUGUAAAGAAAUCCUCAUAGUAUGUCAUGUGUUCUUCCACAACAGACUUGUGACUCUCCUUUCGGCCUCCAGUGUGGCUCACUUGUCUCCGUCUCCUGACAGAAUGAGCAUGCUCAACUGCAAGUCUGGCAGUGUCCAUGCUCUGCUUAAAAUCCUUCAGGGACAUGCUUAAAUCAUUGAGCCCCGCUCAGAGCUUCUUGUGAUCUGGCUCCUUCCUACCUGUUCAUGUUCAUCUCUCUCUGAACCCCCCACCCCCGACAUACUCCAAUCAAACUAUUUACACACUAUCCCACUCCACACUCCUGCACCUCUGCACAAACUAGUCUCUCUACCUGCAAUGCAAGACCCUCUCCCACCCUCCCACCUCAUCUGAUCCCAGCUGUUUUUCAAGCUUUGGCUCCCAUAUCACCUCCUCUGAGCCAAAGUUGAAUAGAUGCCUUUUAAGGACUCUCAUGACACGUGUGCACAUUUCUGUCACUGUGCUUGUUCCCCUGCAUUGUAAAUAUUUGGUGGUUUGUUUGUCUUUCUUACUUGAUUAUAAGAUUGUAAGAUUGUAAGCUUUUUGUCUGUAGGUAAUAGAAAUUGGUGCAAUCUAUGGCAUGAAGUGAGUAUUCAGCAACUAUUUUGCAAUGAUUCAUUAAUGUUUUCUCAAAUUAUUAAGUAAAGAAUGCAACCAGCUUCCAGAACAAUUAGAUGAUAUGAUUGUUAAGGACAAAGCCAUGUCUUGUAAGUUUUCAUGUUGCUCAGAUCCCCCAUCCUCUUGCUUAUUAAUUUGCAUUACCAAUGAAUAAGUUGAUACUUUCAAAAUUGUAUGGAUAUCUUAAUUUUAUAUUUGCCCAGUAUAUUUGCCUUCGGAGACAAUUUCUCCUCCUCUACAUAACAGUUCGGCCAAUCCCUUGCUUGGAUUUCCCCACAUAUGCUGGAAUCCUAAUGUGAGUUAGCCAAUCAGAAUGCUCCAUCCUCCUGGCUGCAGUGAUUGUCAGGUAAGGACCCUUGACCCAGGCCGAGCCCAUCAGAGUCUUCUCAGGGGUUUUUGCUGGAGCCAGGCAGAAAGACAUGCAGAAACAAUGCAAUGCUCUUCAUUGCCUGAGGCCAGCUUUGCUGCUUGGUAGAGAACUGGGAAUGGAACCCACCAAGGUGAGAGAUGACCGUAAUAACAUCAUUUAAACCCCGAAACCCCACAUCUAAAGAGUCAUCAUCCUGGUACAAGAGCCAACAGAUCCUUCUCUUGUUGCCUUUUAAGCUGUUGGAAGCCUUCCUAAUACUCAAGAUCAGCCUUUCACAAUAUUCCAUGUUUGGAAGGAGGUAAAUGGAAUUGGGGGAAUAAGACUUUUACAACUAUUAGUCCUUUGUGGUCUUUUGAGAGUGAUGCUGACAUCUGUAUGAGCACCAUCUGUGCAGCCACCCCACACCCAUCGUCAUCUCUAAGCCUUUCCCACCCCACAACCUGGCCUCUGAUGCCAAGCAGGAAGGAGGCCUUAUCGAGGCUCCCUCUCACCUGCCACAGAAGAAACAGGGUCCCCAUUCUCAUCCUCCAAAGGAGAAAAGCUGGCCGAGAAGACAUGUCAUAAGGGUCAAGACAGGCCAGAAGCCUCAUUAUUUCUGUGCCAGGUGCUUAUUGAACCUCUCCUCAUCACAAAUGACCCAUUGCAUCUAUUUUCUUCUGAGGUCAACACAAACUCUGCAUCUGGAACUAUGAGGGGGCUGUGUGGAGUGGGAAGGAGCAGGGCUACCUCCGGAAACAGAGAUGUGAACAUCCACUCAAAGACCCUCUGAGUAACGUCCAGUGCACUUCUGAGAACUAUUAUUGGAGAUAUUUUUCAGCUUUUGCUUUAAAUUUCUGGAAACAUCCUCAAUGAAGCAUGAGAAGUAAGUAAACAUAGCCUUCUCUAAAGUGGCCUACAGAGCUUAUAGACAAAAGGUUGGGGGGCGUAUUGGGGAGAGAGGAGAGUCUUUGUUUAAAGAAAGUUCUCAUGUCAGCCCUAUUGAGUAUCCUGUGUGAUUAUUUUAGGGGUAAAGGGAAAUAGCCAAGCUCUCUCAGAAGAGUAUUUUUAUGGAUUUAAUUUGAAUUAGCUUAAUUAGAUGCUUUUCUCCUAUUAGCUAAGAUAAACCACCCCAAAAGAACCAGAUUUGUGAUGAAGUAUGGAAGAAGGAGAAUGAAGAAGUAUUUUAUAGUAAGAACUCCUACCCGAGGUCUGGCAGGGACAUCUCUGGAUAGAGAAGAGUGGAGCACAGUUCCCCCCGGGCAGAGGUGAAUUGGAAGAAAAGAAGAACAAUCCAAAGGGAGAGGGAAGAGACAGAAGAAAGAUAAACUAUAAUUACUUUGCAAUUUUGCUGAAGGGUAGAGCUUCUGUUCUUCCCCAAAAUUUGCCCUUGUUGGAGAUCUAGGGUGAAAAUGGUCCAAAUUCAUCACUUUAAGUCUCCAAACUUGGAAAAAAGGGAUCCUCAGCUUCAUCUCCUAGGGCCUAGGCCUAUCUUGGCCCGUAAUUUUUCUGGCCCUUACUACCAAAUUUCAUCCCUAGAAAAGAGGCUGAAACCUGGCUCAGGGCAAUGAAGAGGAAGAGGCGAGUUUAUUUCUUCAAGUCUGUUUCUGAGGUCCUCUCCAUGCUCCAGAGCUAGAGCUCUGUGCUACAGCUACAGGAAGACACACCUGUGUCCUCCUUUACUCAACAAAACAGCAGUCCCAGCCCCCACUUGGACCCAAAGUUGAAAAAGAUAUGAAAGGGGGAUGAUUGUAAGUUUCAGAACAGCCGCAGUUGAGGAGGGAAGUAAGGCCGGGGGGAGGGGGUGGCGGAGAGGGCUUGGAGACCAGAAGGAAGAGGGCUGCUACUUCCUUCCUGCUGCAGGACUGGGUUCUGAGAGCCCUGGUUAUAUAAUUGGAAUACCUGGGGAUUCAGAGCAUCACCUCACAACCAACGUUAGGAAGUGCCAGAGCUCUCCUCCCCGGGGUGGGGAUGGGGGUGCUGAGAACAGGGCACAGCAGAGAGAGGAGGGAGGUUGAAGUCUGAUGCAGGCACCGCCAGGUCAGGACUCGCACUGUGUCCUCCCUGUCCCUGGUGAUACCCCAGAGAGAGGACCAGCUUGGUAACUGCACUCUGGUUCUUAUUGGCCAGAUGUCCUCCCACCCCCAGAAACCACACAGGCCCUGGAGCCUGCCUGGUCUGUGGGGGCGGGGGGUGGACUUCCACGCCCUCUCUGCACAGCUUGCAUCUUUGCCCCACCUUGAUUCUCCUGUGAUCACGGCUGUCAUUAUGGCCGUUCACUGCCCUCAGUCUCAGCAGCAACUCCAGAGACACACAGGCUGUGCCAGCUACCAGAGCUCUUCCUGCAGCCUCUCCAGAUGUCCCCAGAAAGCCAGAGGAAGGCUGAACCUGCAUCCCUGACUAAUGAUCACGCCUUCAAGACGGGAUGCAGCCUGUGACUCAAACUGUGGAGGCACAGCAAAUGGAAGAGGGAGUGGGAGGGAGAAGAGAGGAACAUGGAGGAAAACAAAGAUGGGGGAGGAAGAAAGGAGGAAGGACCCAAGGAAGAAGGGCUUCGGAAGGGCCGUUGACUCUUUAAAGAUGCUCUCCCCCUAUGGCCUCUGCAGUCAUCAAAGUUCCAGACGACAAGAUAAAUAUCUUUACACAACAGUCCAGCAGUCCAGUCUGACAUUACUUUGAAAGAGAACCCAAAUCACAAAAGGAUGUUAUUAUAAUUGCAACUACCGUGACUUGCAAUAUAAGCUCAUGCAUACUGCACACAUGAAUCCAGAUUUUUAUACACUCUGAAAUCCUAAAGACAACAACCACGGUUCUUUUAAAGCUAGAGAAGUGAUUGUAUACCCUCAAAGUGUCUUAGUUUGGUCCUGUUCCAAGAAUCUGGAUCUGGCAAUGAAGGUUACAAAAGAAGAGCCGGGUUCAGUCAUUCCAUAGGAUGCCAUUCUGCCCUGUAAUUCAACAUACCUUAUAGCUGAUUAUGUAUAAUAUUAAGCUAUGUCAGAG
rnacentral:lncRNA from 1 species